AACUUUCAGCAGUGGAUGUCUAGGCUCGCACAUCGAUGAAGAACCGCUGCGAACUGCGAUACGUAAAUGCGAAUUGCAGGAUUCAGUGAGUCAUCGAAAUUUUUGGAACGCAUAUUUGCACUUCCGGGUUAGUCCUGGAAGUAUGCCUGUAUCAGUGUCC
rfam:Phytophthora infestans T30-4 supercont1.52 genomic scaffold, whole genome shotgun sequence.